UACGAAGGGGCUAGCGUUGCUCGGAAUUACUGGGCGUAAAGGGCGCGUAGGCGGCACUGUUAGUCAGGCGUGAAAGUCCUGGGCUCAACCUGGGAACUGCGCUUGAUACGGCAGAGCUAGAGGAUGGAAGAGGGUCGCGGAAUUCCCAGUGUAGAGGUGAAAUUCGUAGAUAUUGGGAAGAACACCGGUGGCGAAGGCGGCGACCUGGUCCAUUACUGACGCUGAGGCGCGACGCGGUGGG
rnacentral:rRNA from 1 species